rnacentral:rRNA from 1 species
UACGGGGGGGCAAGCGUUGUUCGGAAUUACUGGGCGUAAAGGGCUCGUAGGCGGCCAACUAAGUCAGACGUGAAAUCCCUCGGCUUAACCGGGGAACUGCGUCUGAUACUGGAUGGCUUGAGUUUGGGAGAGGGACGCGGAAUUCCAGGUGUAGCGGUGAAAUGCGUAGAUAUCUGGAGGAACACCGGUGGCGAAGGCGGCGUCCUGGACCAACACUGACACUGAUGAGCGAAAGCCAGGGGAGCAAACGGG